rnacentral:rRNA from 1 species
AGGGUUUCAGGGUAAAGUUUUUCGGACAGAGAGGAGCCUAUGUCCCAUCAGCUUGUUGGUAGGGUAACAGCCUACCAAGGCUUUGACGGGUAGCGGGUGUGAGAGCACGACCCGCCUCACUGGGACUGAGACACUGCCCAGACUCCUACGGGAGGCUGCAGUCGAGAAUCUUCCGCAAUGCCCGAAAGGGUGACGGAGCGACGCCGCGUGCAGGAAGACGCCCCUCGGGGUGUAAACUGCUUUUGACAAGGAAGAAGCUUCGGCAGACGGUACUUGUCGAAUAAGGGCCUGCUAAUCACGUGCCAGCAGCCGCGGUAAUACGUGAGGCCCAAGCGUUAUCCGGAUUUAUUGGGCGUAAAGCGUCCGCAGGCGGCACUGUGCAUCCUUGGUCAAAUUUCGAUGCCUAACAUCGAAACUGCUAAGGAGAUGGCAGUGCUAGAGAUCGGGAGAGGCGAGCGGAAUAGCCGGUGUAGGGGUAAAAUCCGUUAAUAUCGGCUAGAACACCAAAGGCGAAAGCAGCUCGCUGGAACGAUUCUGACGCUCAUGGACGAAAGCGUGGGGAGCGAAUGGGAUUAGAUACCCCAGUAGUCCACGCUGUAAACGAUGGAUACUAGACAUUGGAAGUCUCGACCCUUUCAGUGUCGUUUUAAUCAAGCUAACGCAUUAAGUAUCCCGCCUGGGGAGUACGGCCGCAAGGCUAAAACUCAAAGGAAUUGACGGGGACUCGCACAAGCGGUGGAGCAUGUGGUUUAAUUCGAUAAUAAGCGGGGAACCUUACCAGGACUUGACAUCUGGCUGCAGAAUCUUGGAAACAAGAUAGCCUUCGAGGGUGCCAGACAGGUGCUGCAUGGUUGUCGUCAGCUUGUGCCGUGAGGUGCACGGUUAAGUCCGAUAACAAGCGCAACCCCUACACUGUGUUACAUUGUACACAGUGAACUGCCUCGGUUAACGAGGAGGAAGGUGGGGAUGACGUCAAAUCAGCAUGGCUCUUACGUCCUGGGCGACACACGUGCUACAAUGGGUAGGACAACGGGUAGCCAAGCCGUAAGGCGGAGCCAAUCCUCUAAACCUACUCUCAGUUCGGAUUGAGGGCUGCAAUUCGCCCUCAUGAAGCCGGAAUCGCUAGUAACCGUGGAUCAGCCACGCCGCGGUGAAUACGUUCUCGAGUCUUGUACACACCGCCCGUCACGUCAAGGGAGCCGGCAAUACCCGAAGGUCCGCGUACGCGGGACGACGGUAGGGCUGGUGACAGGGACGAAGUCGUAACAAGGCAUCCGUAGCGGAAGCUGUGGAUG